CCUCUUAGCGGGGGAUAACUAUUGGAAACGAUAGCUAAUACCGCAUAAAAGUCGAUAUCGCAUGAUAUUGACUUGAAAGGUGCAAUUGCAUCACUAAGAGAUGGACCUGCGUUGUAUUAGCUAGUUGGUGAGGUAACGGCUCGCCAAGGCGACGAUACAUAGCCGACCUGAGAGGGUGAUCGGCCACACUGGGACUGAGACACGGCCCAG
rnacentral:rRNA from 1 species